GUAUAAAAACACAUAUAUAAAAGUUUCUUAUAAUCUUGAAAGGACAGGGUGGCAUGCUAUUUACUGACAGGCUGACCUUUUACACAAAGAACCUCCAUCUUCAACAAGCUGAAAUUACUGAUAUUGAUGCCUUCAGAACAUUGUCUGCUUCAGAAAGCAACAUGUUUUGUCCAAGUCAUACAGAACUGGCUAGAUGGACACCACUUGGUCAUCAAAUGAUGCAAUGCAAAGGGCAAGGGGACAUUUCUUCUGCAGUUCCAACCAUAUGUCUGAUACUGUGCAAGGAAAAAAAGGGAAAUGUCAAAUAUGAUUCCUGAUGUCAAGAAACUUAUAAUUUACUGGUCAAUUACCUACUACUUUAGCCCAGAGCCAUGUCCUACAUUUUUUGGAACCACCCCCAGCAUCUAACAUAGGACUUUAUCUAUAUCAACAAGAAGUUAGUAAAAAGUUAAAGUGACAAUAUAGAAUGCUUAGACUUAACUGAUAAAAUACAUGUUUAAAUAGAUGACCAAGAGAAAAGAUAAAGUUGAGCUUGUGUCAUUGCAAUCUAUGAAAAAAUCUUGUUAUUUUAAUUUUAUAUUUUUAUUUUGAGCAUGUAUUGACACAGGAAGGCUCCUGUUUCUACUCAUUGAAAUCUUUUUUUAACACACUUCUUUUUUUUUAAAAAAAAUAUUGGAGUAUAGUUGACUUACACUGUUGUAUUACUUUCAGGUAUACAGCAAAGUCAAUCAGUUAUAUAUGAAAAUAUACCCAUUCUUUUUUCCCCUAGAGGUUAUUACAGACUAGUAAGUAGAUUUUCCUAUGCUAUACAACAGGUUCUCAUUAAUCAUCUACUUUAUACACUAGUGUGUAUAUGUUAUCCCACCCUCCCAAUUCUUCCCUCUCUCCAGCAGUUUCACCUAUGGUAACCAUAAAAUGGUUUUAAAAUCUGUUUGUUUCCAUUUUAUAAAUAAGUUCUUUUGUAUCAUUUUUUAUUAGGUUCCACAUAUAAGUGAUACCAUAUUUCUUUUUGCCUUAUUUCAUUCAUUAAGAUAAUAUCUAGGUCCAUCCAUGUUGCUGCAAAUGGCAUUAUUUCAUUUUUUAUGGAUGAAUAAUACCCCAUUGUACAUAUGUACCACAUCUUCUUUAUCCAUUCCCCUGUAGAUGGACAUUUAGGUUGCUUCCAUGUCUUGGCUGUUGUAAAUAGUACUGCAAUGAACACUGGGGUGCCUGUAUCUUCUUGGGCUAUGGUUUUCUCUGGAUAGAUGCCCAGGAGUAGGACUGCUAGAUGAUAUGGUAGUACUAUAUUUAGUUUUUUAAGGAACCUUCAUACUGUCCUCCAUAGUUGUUGCACCAGCUUACAUUCCUACUUACAGUGUAGGAGGGUUCCCUUUCUCCACAUCCUCUCCAGCAUUUAUAGUUUCUAGUUUUUGUCCAUCUGUACAUCUUCUUAAUGUCAAUUUUUCUUAAAGGUAGGAAUUAGAGGUCAGGCCUAUCCUGUAUGGGGUAUCAAAAGUAGCUGAGUCCUUACCUGCACCCUUUUCCCUGGUAGCCAAGGCAAUAGCUUUUUUAAACAUGCAAAACUAUAGGUCAACCUGUUACUAAAACCCCUUCCCUCUUGGGUUCUUUGAUUUUAUAUUAAAAUGUUCCUUCCAUUUACUUAUCAAAAUAUUGAGCAAUUACUAUGUACUAGCAAUGUGUUCCUCUCUAUUACUUCUGAUUCCUUCACUAGCUCUUCAUUCUCUGCCCUACAACUCCCUCACUUUUUAACCCUUAUUCUAUUUUUCUUAUAAAUUAUACAUAUACUUAGAUAUAUGCAUAAUUCAUAUGUAUAUUAUAUAUAAGUAUAUAUAAUUUAUAUCUAUAUAGACAUAUAUACUUACCUUUCAGAAAGUAUAUCAGUUCUCUGAGGUUUCCAGCCUUUAGGCUAAUGUCUUCCAACUUACAUAUUCUGCACAUCCAGAUGGAAUGUUUCCUGCUACUGCUACACUCAUUGAUCAUUCCUUCUUAGUCUUUCCUGCUGGCAUCUCUUCCUCUGGGAAGUACUAGUUCUGAAAUUUUUUCAAAACUCUUAGUUUGUCUUUUCACUCUAUACUUUGUCCCUACACGAUUUCAUUUCCCUCUCCCUAUCAUCAAGUUUAAGGAUGGAUUUGCUUCUGUUCUUGCUCUUUUCAUGCUUUAGGUCUUCAUCAAGCCUGUUGCCCCUAUUUUUAUCUGGAUAAACCCUCUUCUUCCUGAAAUAUUGGCUUAAAAUCAUGUUCCUCAAGAAAGUAUUUAUUCUUUUUUCCAGACUAGGUUUGACAGCUCUGCUAUGUGACUUUAUUGCACCGUGUCCCUUUCUUUUGAAGUAUCUAUCAUCUCAAAUGAUCUGUUCAAUGGCAGUCCUGUCCGUUAGACUAGAUGUCAGUAAAUAAUAGCCCAUGGAUCAAAUCCAGCCCCUGGAUUUUGUAAAUAAAGUUUUAUUGGAAGCCAGACAUACUUUCACAUAUGUAUUGUUGGUAACUAUUUAUGUAUUGUUGAUGAUUGUUUUUGUGUUUCAAUGGCAAAGCUGAAUAGUUGUGAGAGAAACCACAUGGCCUGAAAGCCUAAAAUUUAUCUGCCUCUUUUCAGGAAAAGUUUGCCAAAAGUUGCACUGCACUAUAAGCAGGAAAGAUGAAAUCAUGCCUGUCAUUCUCACUUCUAUAUUCCCAGCACCUAGCAUGACACCUGGCACAUAACUAUUUCUGGACUAGGUGUACUAAUUGUAUUUCGACCUCAAGCUUUAACCCAUCUUGUCGGUGAUAUGAAUAAGAUCACAUUAACUGGCCUGUGUUUAAUAACAGCAUUAUAAUCACUGCUUAUCCAGAUGAUGAUUAUAGUAUUCCAGUCCAAGAGGGGUUCAGAAAUUAACCAAAUAAUACACAAACAAAUGGAUUGUUGCAACCAGAGGUAAACACUAUGGGAAAGAACACAGUACAAUUAGAGUGUGUAACAGAGACCCAUAAUCAAAUACAGAGUUUGGGAAGGCUUCCCUGAGGAAGUGACUUUUGACCUGAAAUUUGAAGAGUGAACUAACUGUGCAAAAAGAGGAGAGAAAGAGCAAAUCAGGUAGAAAGAAUAUCAUAUAUAAUUCUUUCUUCUUUGGAGAGAAAGAACAUUGCAUGUACUGGGAACUAAUGUUCUUGUCAAAUAAUGAACAUAAAGUAAGUUUCUUGAAAAGUUAAGGGUAGGAUCCAACAUGGACCUAAAUGCUAGGAUUUUAGGAUUAUAAUAAUGUAAAGUUUGAAGCAUUCUGUUUUUGGCCAACAGUAGGAAAAUGGUAAACUAUUAUAUUUCCAUAGCAGAGCAUAUUUUGCAUCCACUAGAAUAAUAUUUAUGAAGAAUUCUAAUUUGCAUGGGAAGUGUUCCUAUUAUAACGUAAAGUGGAAAAAAACAGGAUAUUAUUUCUACUAUGUAAUGUAUUUAUAGAAACAUUUUCUAGAAAAAAUGGACAAAAAUAUUAAUCAUUACUGCCUCUGGGUGGGAUUGAGUGUCCUGUAUUUUCUUUAUGGCUUCCCAUAUUAUUUAUCCUAUACAUUUAAAACCUUUUAAGAUUGAAGAAAUACAUUUUAUUAAAAAAAUAAGGAAAUACAAGUGUUGGUCUGAGAGUAAAUAGUCUUUCCUGGCCCCUGAAUGGGGAUGUAAAACGAGGAUCAAAACCCAGAAGAGUUCACUGUCAGUAACAAAGAUUAUUAGUGGAAGUUUUCCUGAAAUGUGGUUUAAGUGCGCUGGGGACUUUGGGGCCAGGGAAAACUACCCCGAGAUAUGCUGCACUAUAGACAUACUGCUUCUGAGAUUUUGUAUCUUGAUUAUUUAAAUUGGGAGCUCAAUCUAACCUUACUCUAUGUGCUUGGCUUCUUCCUGCCUAGCCACAAUCCAUCAGAAAUGCCCCAAUAUCAGUUCUGGAUUCAUAAUUUAAAUGAGGGUCCUGGAGAGCUCAAGCAUCAAUUCUAAUAUUACUCUAUUCUGAAAGCUUCUUUUUUGUUUCUCAAACAUCAUUUUUAAUUUAUAAGCUCAUUGGUCUCCCCCUUAAAACUAUUAUUGAUAAUUUAUAGAAGUGGAGGAGUUGAGAGUUGUUUUUUAAAAGUUUUGCUUCUCCCUGUAAGUAAUUAAUUCGUUUAAAAAGAACAGAGAGAAAUUCAGCUCUCACAAUGAUUGACUUCCCUUUAAUUUUUUUUUGUAAGAGACACAUAAACGUUGCUCUUUUAGUCAUAAAAUACUUUAUUAAUCAUUUAGGCAAUACAUAUUUAUGUGACUACCUAUACCCAAGCAGCUGCUAUGAAUAAACUGGGGGAAAGGUGCAUGAAAUCUUUUGAAAAUGAGCAGAGUUGAUGGCAAUUGCCUCCAGAGUCUGCUGCACUUACUUAGGGCUUCCUUAUCCCCUCUGGGAAGGAGUUUGUUUUCCAUGGUGGUUUCAUAGAGGCCAGACAACGGAUGAAGGGCUACGUAAAAAUUUUCCUUAGAUCAGGGGUUUUCAACCUACUAGAUACCAGUAGCACUCCUUCAGAUGUGAUAAUCAAAAAUAUGUUUCAUGAUAUUUUACCAAAUGUCCCCAGGGUGGGGGUGGGGCUGGGGCGGGGGAGGGGACUGCCUGGGUUGAGAACCACUGGACUAAUGCAUCAGACAUUUAUUCCUUAAGAAAAUUGAGUGCUAUGAUUGGUAAAAGAAAGGAAUAACACAAAGAAUACUUUGAAUUUCACUGAAUUUACUAAAAACUAAACAAAAGCAAUCAAAUAACUGAAUAAGGAGGAAAACAUGAACCUUGUCAAAUCACUAUGCUCCUCUGCCUAUUCCCUAGAUUAGAGAUGAAUGAACUGACAAGACAGGCUAUUUCCAUAACAGAAAUGACUAGCAUGUGUGUUGUAUACACACACCCCCACACCCUCACACCCCCACUCACACUUUUAAACUGAAGUAUAGUGGAUUUACAAUGUUGGUUAGUUUCUGGUGUACGGCAAAGUGAUUCAGCUAUACAUACAUACAUAUACCUGUAUACAUUUUAUAAGUAUGUGUUCUUUUUCAUAAUCUUUUCCACUACAAAAUAUUGAUUAUAGUUCCCUGUGCUAUACAGCAGGUU
rnacentral:lncRNA from 1 species